GGGUGCUUGACCUGGUGGCGAGUGGCGAACGGGUGAGUAAUAUAUCGGAACGUACCCUAGAGUGGGGGAUAACGCAGCGAAAGUUGCGCUAAUACCGCAUACGAUCUACGGAUGAAAGUGGGGGAUCGCAAGACCUCAUGCUCAUGGAGCGGCCGAUAUCUGAUUAGCUAGUUGGUGGGGUAAAAGCCUACCAAGGCAUCGAUCAGUAGCUGGUCUGAGAGGACGACCAGCCACACUGGAACUGAGACACGGUCCAGACUCCUACGGGAGGCAGCAGUGGGGAAUUUUGGACAAUGGGCGCAAGCCUGAUCCAGCAAUGCCGCGUGAGUGAAGAAGGCCUUCGGGUUGUAAAGCUCUUUUGUCAGGGAAGAAACGGUGAGGGCUAAUAUCCUUUGCUAAUGACGGUACCUGAAGAAUAAGCACCGGCUAACUACGUGCCAGCAGCCGCGGUAAUACGUAGGGUGCAAGCGUUAAUCGGAAUUACUGGGCGUAAAGCGUGCGCAGGCGGUUAUGUAAGUCAGAUGUGAAAUCCCCGGGCUCAACCUGGGAAUGGCAUUUGAGACUGCAUGGCUAGAGUGUGUCAGAGGGGGGUAGAAUUCCACGUGUAGCAGUGAAAUGCGUAGAGAUGUGGAGGAAUACCGAUGGCGAAGGCAGCCCCCUGGGAUAACACUGACGCUCAUGCACGAAAGCGUGGGGAGCAAACAGGAUUAGAUACCCUGGUAGUCCACGCCCUAAACGAUGUCUACUAGUUGUCGGGACUUAAUUGUCUUGGUAACGCAGCUAACGCGUGAAGUAGACCGCCUGGGGAGUACGGUCGCAAGAUUAAAACUCAAAGGAAUUGACGGGGACCCGCACAAGCGGUGGAUGAUGUGGAUUAAUUCGAUGCAACGCGAAAAACCUUACCUACCCUUGACAUGUACGGAACCUCUGAGAGAUUAGAGGGUGCUCGAAAGAGAGCCGUAACACAGGUGCUGCAUGGCUGUCGUCAGCUCGUGUCGUGAGAUGUUGGGUUAAGUCCCGCAACGAGCGCAACCCUUGUCAUUAGUUGCUACGAAAGGGCACUCUAAUGAGACUGCCGGUGACAAACCGGAGGAAGGUGGGGAUGACGUCAAGUCCUCAUGGCCCUUAUGGGUAGGGCUUCACACGUCAUACAAUGGUACAUACAGAGGGCCGCCAACCCGCGAGGGGGAGCUAAUCCCAGAAAGUGUAUCGUAGUCCGGAUUGUAGUCUGCAACUCGACUACAUGAAGUUGGAAUCGCUAGUAAUCGCGGAUCAGCAUGUCGCGGUGAAUACGUUCCCGGGUCUUGUACACACCGCCCGUCACACCAUGGGAGCGGGUUUCACCAGAAGUAGGUAGCCUAACCGC
rnacentral:rRNA from 1 species